GUGGGGAAUCUUAGACAAUGGGGGAAACCCUGAUCUAGCCAUGCCGCGUGAUCGAUGAAGGCCUUAGGGUUGUAAAGAUCUUUCAGGUGGGAAGAUAAUGACUGUACCACCAGAAGAAGCCCCGGCUAACUCCGUGCCAGCAGCCGCGGUAAUACGGAGGGGGCUAGAGUUGUUCGGAAUUACUGGGCGUAAAGCGCACGUAGGCGGAUUGGAAAGUUGGGGGUGAAAUCCCGGGGCUCAACCCCGGAACUGCCUUCAAAACUCCCAGUCUUGAGUUCGAGAGAGGUGAGUGGAAUUCCGAGUGUAGAGGUGAAAUUCGUAGAUAUUCGGAGGAACACCAGUGGCGAAGGCGGCUCACUGGCUCGAUACUGACGCUGAGGUGCGAAAGCGUGGGGAGCAAACAGGAUUAGAUACCCGGGUAGUCC
rnacentral:rRNA from 1 species